ACCCGCCCAUCAACCAGGCUUAAAAUAUACUUUCUCCCUCCUCUACCUUCAUGUUUUCUUUCUCUCUUUCUCUCUCCUCCAUUUUCACGCAGGAAUGCAGAAGACUCUGGAUUGAAUCAGCAAUGGCGAACAAGAGUCGAGAUUACAAUAGAUCAAAACACGUAUAUAUCCGUCUACCAUUUUCAUGAUGGAAGGUCAAAAUCAGUUAACAAUGGUGACGCGGCAACGAAGACGAAGACGAGAAAUCGAUCAACUUGGUGAUUGUGUCGAAUUAGGUUGAACUCGCACACGAAGCAGUACGAAUCGUUCUACCUUGGAGUACGAACGGAUCUCCACCGUACAGGCGACGAUGACCCGGCACAGAAAAAAGCGUGGGGAAAAGAGGAAGCGCAGGACCAGAGCCACUACACAACUGAAGGCUCCUACAGCACCAGGGGAAAAGAGGGGUGCGGGGAGACCCAAAUUAGCCUGUAAAAAAGCGAGGAAACCAGUUCAGGCCCUGGCAAGUGAUGGACGUGAAACAAUAUCUGAGUUAUGAAAGGAAGAGCUGGAUUGCGAAAUCCCACUUACGUGCUAUACUGGAACUGAAAAUCGGUAAACUGGACAAAAAGUUCAUGUGUUGGUUGCAUAAAAGGUGGGAUGCGGAUGCAGGAACCCUGACCAUAAGAAAGGAGUAUGUGGUUGCUAUUACAGAAGACGUGAUAGGCUUUAUCACUGGGUUACCCUUUGGAAACAAAACCGAUAACCUUCCUCAAGGUCUUACAAUGACAGAACCUGAAGCACAGGCUAUGAUCAAAUUCUACAAGAAUGAAAAUGAUAACAUAACGUUCAACUACGUUACAACCUAUGCAUUGCAGAGGUAGAGAGUUUGGUCUUGUUUUUGAGGCAUUACACGCUAUUGGUUCUUGGAUGCUUGCUCUGCGCGACAAAACAUUAUUUUAUUAGUCCCAAAUUGGUUAUUUAUCUGUCGCGUAGAUUCCUUGAGGAGCCACGCCGCUUGAAUUGGUCAGAGUUUGUGCUUCGUUGGAUGAAGAAGCAUGGGCGUAGUGAUGAUGUCGGGAAGGGAGCUAAGGGUGAUGGAAUCGUCCUUCUCUUAAGUCUAAUAUUGUUAAUACGUUCAUCCUAUUAUUUGUUAAAGUUUGUAAAUCUGGGUUCAAAUAGAUUGUUUACUGACUCUCUGGAAUGGUAGAUUACCUACCUUGACAGAAUCAGGUAUCAAAAUGACAGGGGACUAAGGUGGAAUACAAACGAGGCUAGAAUUUCCACUUGGCUACAAGAUGACAUGGUAUGCGCCAUUCAAGGGGAUACAAACCAAAACGGGGAAUACGGUCAUGCGGAGGUGGUUCACAAUGUAAUGUAUGGACUGAAAUACCCAGUUGGCACACCGUAUGUGUUACCCAGUUGGGACAAACUAGGUACUGAUCAAACCGCGGAGCCUGGUCCUGUCUUCAACCCCCGAGAGCGUCCUACUCCUCCCCGCCACGCGUUCAUACCCAUUUUCCAUGGCGGCAAGCGCACGAGGAAGAGAAAAUUGAACAGCGAGAAGUCCGGUCACUUGGAGGAUGAGCGUGAACGUGGUACAAUGUCAUUCCCACCGAGAACACGGAGUCAAGGCGCUGCUGAAUUAAAAUCACAGUCAACGAAGAGGAGGUACAUCGUGAAAGGAAUGCUGAUAAGUUGGCUGGAAGAACCAAGAAGAGAAAACGUCUGGAUCCCACAUAUCCGGUUCCCUCAUAACUUAGGCCCGACGUCAGAAGAUUGGUUAGGGAGAUUAUAGAUAAUAAAGGGAACGAGACACAUAUCCUUUUCAGUGUAAGAGAAAUAGGUAUUUCCCUGACUAGGUCUACCCUCAGAUUCUGCUUUGACUCGAGGGGCAAGAUUAUCAAUGAGGUUAUUGGUGCCAUUGUUGCUUGCUGCAACUAUGAUAAUCGUGAAUCUAAUCAGUUCUAUGUGUUCCCGCCCUUUCUUCUGGGUUCUUACCUAGACGCCCAAUUCAUAAACUAUGACAAGAAAUACACGGACAACAAUUUGGAUAGACUCGUUGAUGCGGUCAAGGUUGACAUUGAGCUUCACAAACUUGUUUUGACAGAUGUGAUCAAGUUUGUGCUGCCCUUCUUUAUUAAGAACUGGUGGUUUGUACAAAUAAUAGAUACUGCAAGCCUCAAGCUGAUUAGGUAUGACUCUAGGAGAUCACCUCUCUGCCGUUGUAUAACAAACUAGGAUACCUAGUGGUUCCUUCGUGCCUUAGGGUUCUUAAUGCGGUUCUAGGGUCAACACCUCCAUGGCAAGCACAAGCGAAUGUUAUAGAACUCGUGUUCUGUAGAACGAGUUUCAAGGAACAAAUUAAUGCUGACAAUCCAAUGCUAUGCCUCAUCUUUGUCCUUCAGUCCACCAAUUCGAUCAGUCAAGUAUUGGGCCUCUUGGCUAGAGGCUUACGCAACGUAUGAACUUAAAUUUCGGGAGUACGCUCUACAAUAUCUUUUACUUCACCCGAUCAAUGAAAUUAAUGACGGUGUUGAACAAUUAGUUCUGGGAGGUGACGUUGCACUAUGAGCCAUGUGGGGAGGCCGAUGUGGUUGAGGAAGGGUGCAUUACACAAUACCUUCUCUUAUAAUGUAAUUGUAUAUAUUAUGGUGUACCAAACACUUGUAGUCCAAACGGCUUCUGAAUUCAAAUCUCGAAACCGCAGAGCAAAUCAAUAGAACAGAAAAUGGUGAACUUUUAAAAGAAUGAACAAAUCUAUAAAAUGUUUUAAAAACUAUUUCCUCCAAUAAAAUUAUUCACAAAAUAUGAUUCAAACAUAAAAUAACCUAGGAACUUAUAAUAAAAUUGGUAAUCUAUUGUUAC